rnacentral:tRNA from 1 species
GCCGUUGUAGCAUAGUGGCAGUGCAUUGCGUUGUGGCCGCAACGGCGCAGGUUCGAUUCCUGCCAACGGCA